AGGAUGAACGCUAGCGGCAGGCCUAAUACAUGCAAGUCGAACGGGCCAGCAAUGGUCAGUGGCGCACGGGUGCGUAACGCGUAUGCAACCUACCUUCUACGUGGGGGAUAGCCUUCCGAAAGGAAGAUUAAUACCGCAUAACAUCACAUGAGGGCAUCUGAGUGUGAUCAAAAGUAUUUUAUUGGUAGAAGAGUGGGCAUGCGUGACAUUAGCUUAGUUGGUGCGAGGUAACGGCUCACCAAGGCUACGAUGUCGUUAGGGGUUCUGAGAGGAUGACUCCCCCACACGUGUACGUGAGACUACGGACCAGACC
rnacentral:rRNA from 1 species